UUUCCAAAGGCGCGUCGUAAAAUGGUGGGAUCAACAUCAACAUCAAGUCAUCAAGCCACCAAGUACAAUCAAGCGAAGGACUGUUGAUUUUUUCGUCGUUAAGACCCGGUGACUGCCGACAAAAUAGCUUUCUCAGUUAUCAUCUUUAUCUUCCGGAGUUUUAUUGAGACCUUGUCUUGAGCUUUGCCUUAAAAGGCUGUGGAACCGAGGGACCGCUGAAAUUCCCAGAAGGGUUCGACUCUUUCUAGGUUUUCUCUGGAAUGCCUGGUUCUUUCUCAGGUGCUAAUCGUUGCAUUUCAAAGUCCCGUGGAGCUUUUAGAUUGGUUCUUUCCCAGAAUUGUUAAUGAUUCAGUAACUCUGUGAGUGAGUUUUCUACUACUGAAGGUUUCGGCUGUUCUUCUAUUCGAUGCAAAUGCUAUUUGAAGACUUGAUUCUAGACCGGCACAUUUUUUUAUUCCUUGUAGGAUGCAGAUUGUCUUCAAUCUUUGGGAAAUCAGUACUUGACAACGAGAGAGAGCACGCUUGUCCGUGUUCUUGCUAGUGCCAUGACUGUGUACAUGCGUGCUCUCUACCGUUGUCAAAUGAUGGAUACCCUAAGACGAACUCUUCUCUCGAGCAUUUGCAGCAAGAGAGUUAUCCUGAUGACGGUUAAAGGGGAUCUUCAGUCCCAGCAUAUAAUUUGAAAGGCUAUUGGUGAAGGUUUUGUGCUUUCGACUCUGACUGCUUAUAUAAAUUUAGUUCAUAUUCACAUCUGUACAUGGCGUUUUCUGGGUGAUGCCAGUAUGGAGCUAUAUGCAUAUGCCACAGCAGUUUAUAAUAUCACAUGUAUGGUAGUGAGAUAAAUUUGUUCUGUUUCAAUCAAUUUCAUAGCCUGAUGUUGGCAGCUGUUGCUAGUUCACCCUAUUGAUCCAUCCAAUUAUUUUUUGCCAAUGUGUGUUGGUUGCUAAUCUUGCUGUCUCUAGUCUAAGGCCCAUGGUUCAUCUGGAUAAUAUCCCAUUCCAUGUGAGGUUUACAAUAUGCAUCAGUACUCUCUCCGAUCGUACCAGUCGGUCCAUCCGAUGUCAAACUGGUUCAAUUUAUGAUGUUGGUUAUCGUCCUCAUCUACUGACAAAUGAUUCAACUGUGUUUGCAAUGUCGUAUCAAUGUUCUCCUGUUCACUCUUUAGCUUAUCGAUUGCUUUUCAUUGAGGGAAGUGUUCGAAAAAGGUCUCGGAAAGCACCUAUAGGCAGGUCAAAUUACAGGGUUAAUGCACUUCUGGUGGAGGCACUAAUCUUUGGAAAGCUAUUCAAUGCU